rnacentral:rRNA from 1 species
UACAGAGGUCCCGAGCGUUGUUCGGAUUCAUUGGGCGUAAAGGGUGCGUAGGCGGCCGCCUAAGUUUGAUGUGAAAUCCCGGGGCUUAACCCUGGAAUUGCAUUGAAUACUGGGUGGCUAGAGUACUGGAGAGGAAACUGGAAUUUACGGUGUAGCAGUGAAAUGCGUAGAGAUCGUAAGGAAGACCAGUGGCGAAGGCGAGUUUCUGGACAGUUACUGACGCUGAGGCACGAAGGCCAGGGGAGCAAACGGG